CAUCCAGUGAUACACUUUCAGUGCCUCUUUGGGUCGAUUUCUUUUCAAGUAAGAGGAGAUGAGCAAUGAUGCGAUGGGGCUCUGGUAGGAAUGUGCAGAUGGGUUGUGCCUUAGAACUGUGAGGAGUGACAUGGGUUUGGCCAUGUCAGGCUCUGAGGUGAGGGAGUGGAUGAAGAUGGAUAAAGAGAGGGACUUUGGAGGUGGGUUCGUGAGGAGUGCUGUUGUUAUGAGGUGGAUUGCUGUGGGGAGGUUCUCGGAGACGAUGCAUAGCCGUGGGAUUAGGAGGUUGAUU
rnacentral:lncRNA from 1 species